rnacentral:rRNA from 1 species
CCUACGGGAUGCAGCAGUGGGGAAUUUUGGACAAUGGGCGAAAGCCUGAUCCAGCAAUGCCGCGUGUGGGAAGAAGGCCUUCGGGUUGUAAACCACUUUUGUACGGAACGAAAAGGUCUGCUUUAAUAAAGCGGGCUCAUGACGGUACCGUAAGAAUAAGCACCGGCUAACUACGUGCCAGCAGCCGCGGUAAUACGUAGGGUGCGAGCGUUAAUCGGAAUUACUGGGCGUAAAGCGUGCGCAGGCGGUUAUAUAAGACAGUUGUGAAAUCCCCGGGCUCAACCUGGGAAUUGCAUCUGUGACUGUAUAGCUAGAGUACGGUAGAGGGGGAUGGAAUUCCGCGUGUAGCAGUGAAAUGCGUAGAUAUGCGGAGGAACACCGAUGGCGAAGGCAAUCCCCUGGACCUGUACUGACGCUCAUGCACGAAAGCGUGGGGAGCAAACAGGAUUAGAUACCCUGGUAGUCCACGCCCUAAACGAUGUCAACUGGUUGUUGGGUUGCAUUAGUACUCAGUAACGAAGCUAACGCGUGAAGUUGACCGCCUGGGGAUACGGCCGCAAGGUUGAAACUCAAAUGAAUUGACGGCUGAGAGNGCGAGACGACGACGAGGAGGAGG